CUGGAAUUCACUGGAACAUUCAAUGUGCCAUCACCACAAGGAGGUGAAGGCCAUUUCUGGGUCAGAGAAGGUGACAUUGCCUAUUUGUUCUCUUCCCGUUUCUUCUCCCAAUCGCUCCCACAUCUGACUGAUCUUUUUUCAUUCUACUCUGCAUUUUUGACAGAGACAGGAAAACAAGGCUGUCUGCCAGUUUCAGAUGUCCUGACUUCUUGCCUGGAUGGAAACACGCUGAGUUGGAAUGAGAUAAUGCUGGGGUAUCUUUCCCCUGAAACCGGGAGGGAAAUGUGACUAGGUAUGCGGGGGUCAGACUCCCACCCCAGCGAUUCACCCAGAGCCACAGAGAGGCUUAGCCGACCUCUGCUCUCCCCUUCCUCAUCAGGGAGACAAAGUUCCCAGGGCAGCCCGAGCCAGAACUAGCUGUUUCAGUAGCUGCAAUGUGGCAUUCAGCUCCUCUAGAAGGCUGCUGGAACCAAGUCCACUGCUUGGUCCCUAGGAAGGGGUUCUGGAAUUAUCUGGCUUUUUUUUUUUUUUUUUUUAAUCUCCCCUGAAGCCCUUUGACAAAGCAAAAAGGAAAGUAGUCAACGCAGCAAAUGUCCAACAGCCUUCCAGACAGUCCGGAUCUAUCCAUCGCAGCCUGGGCCGGUUCAUUACACACUGUGAGGAGACCGGUCCCGGGUCCCUAAGCAGGUUGAUGCUGGCCCGUAGGCAGGAGUGUUCAUGAAGGACACAGAGCAUGAGGAGCUGAGCUGGACUGAGUACAUCAGUGUCCUGGAGACUGCCAGAGAAGACAAAUCCUUUCCUCACGACCACCGAGGCCACGCAUCGGGGGAAAUGCCUCUGAGGACCUCAAGGAUACACAUAAUUGGCGUCUCUAUCUGGGAGAGGAGGGUUUGCCCUGACCACUGAGCACCC
rnacentral:lncRNA from 1 species